AAAAAUUAGUUUUAAAGAAAGGCCUGUUUUAUGAGCUUAUCUAUGUUUCCAACUUUAUUUAAUGGGGUUUUAUUUAAAAAAAAAAAGUUUUACGAACAUACAAACUGAACAGCAAAUGUGUUCAAAGAAUUAAAGCAUUCGUUUGCAUUUUAGUUUAAUAAGAAUAUGAAUGCAUAUGUUACUAUUAUAUUACAAUCGGGAAAAUUGCACAUUUUUUUUAUUCUCGAAAGUAUCAUUCUAUUGAAGUGUAAAGAAAACAGUGCCGACACCUUAUGUAUUUAUUAAAUGUGACUUACUUCCAACUAGCAAUAUGAUUUAUUAAACAUUGUAGGUUUACUGCU
rnacentral:sRNA from 1 species